rnacentral:rRNA from 1 species
AACUAACGCUGGCGGCGUGCCUAACACAUGCAAGUCGUACGAGAAAGUUGGCUUCGGCCGAUGAGUAAAGUGGCGCACGGGUGAGUAAUGCGUGGAUAAUCUGCCCUUUAGUUGGGAAUAACGUACCGAAAGGUGCGCUAAUACCUGAUAAUACUGCAUAACUACUGUUGUGUAGUCAAAGAAGGCCUCUGUUUACAAGCUUUUGCUGAAGGAUGAGUCCGCGUACCAUUAGCUGGUUGGUGGGGUAAUGGCCUACCAAGGCUACGAUGGUUAGCUGGUCCGAGAGGAUGAUCAGCCACACUGGAACUGAGACACGGUCCAGACUCCUACGGGAGGCAGCAGUGAGGAAUAUUGCGCAAUGGGGGCAACCCUGACGCAGCAACGCCGCGUGAGUGAGGAAGGUUUUCGGACCGUAAAGCUCUGUCGAGCGGGAAGAAAUGUAUCAUGGCUAAUAUCCAUGAUACUUGACGGUACCGCUAAAGGAAGCACCGG